GACUUCCAAGAAAAGCUCGCAAUGUCAUGAAUAAAAAAUGCCUGUACCAUAACCGACACAGGUGGGUAGGUAGAGUAUACUAAGGGGCGCGAGAUAACUCUCUCUAAGGAACUCGGCAAAAUGACUCCGUAACUUCGGGAGAAGGAGUGCCUUAUUUAUAAGGUUGCAAUAACAAGAUCCAAGCAACUGUUUAUCAAAAACACAGGUCUCCGCUAAGUCGUAAGACGAUGUAUGGGGGCUGACGCCUGCCCAGUGCCAGAAGGUUAAAGAAGUUGGUUAGUGUAUGCGAAGCUGAUGACUGAAGCCCUGGUGAACGGCGGCCGUAACUAUAACGGUCCUAAGGUAGCGAAAUUCCUUGUCGGGUAAGUUCCGACCCGCACGAAAGGCGUAAUGAUUUGGAUACUGUCUCGGAGAGAGGCUCGGUGAAAUAGACUUGUCUGUGAAGAUGCGGACUACCUGCACCAGGACAGAAAGACCCUAUGAAGCUUUACUGUAACUUGAAAUUGGAAUUGGACUUUGCUUGCGCAGUAUAGGUGGGAAGCGUUGAAGAUAUUCUUGCGGGAGUAUUGGAGCUAUCAGUGAGAUACCACUCUUGUAAUGUUAGAUUUCUAACUUUGAACCAUAAUCUGGUCAAAGAACAGUUUCAGGUGGGCAGUUUGACUGGGGCGGUCGCCUCCCAAAUGGUAACGGAGGCGUACAAAGGUUUCCUCUGAACGGAUAGAAAUCGUAUCUAGAGUGUAAAGGCAUAAGGAAGCUUGACUGUGAGACCUACAAGUCGAGCAGGGACGAAAGUCGGUCUUAGUGAUCUGACGGUACUGAGUGGAAAGGCCGUCACUCAACGGAUAAAAGUUACUCUAGGGAUAACAGGCUGAUCUCCCCCAAGAGUUCACAUCGACGGGGAGGUUUGGCACCUCGAUGUCGGCUCAUCGCAUCCUGGGGCGGUAGUACGUCCCAAGGGUUGGGCUGUUCGCCCAUGAAAGCGGUACGCGAGCUGGGUUCAGAACGUCGUGAGACAGUUCGGUCCAUAUCCGGUGUAGGCGUUAGAAUAUUGAGAGGAGCCUUCUUUAGUACGAGAGGACCGAGAAGGACACACCGCUGGUGUACCAGUUAUCGUGCCAACGGUAAACGCUGGGUAGCUAUGUGUGGAGUGGAUAACCGCUGAAAGCAUCUAAGUGGGAAGCCCACCUCAAGAUGAGUAUUCGC
rnacentral:rRNA from 1 species